rnacentral:rRNA from 1 species
GAUCCUGGCUCAGGAUGAACGCUAGCUACAGGCUUAACACAUGCAAGUCGAGGGGCAGCAUGACCUAGCAAUAGGUUGAUGGCGACCGGCGCACGGGUGAGUAACACGUAUCCAACCUACCGGUUAUUCCGGGAUAGCCUUUCGAAGAAAGAUUAAUACCGGAUAGUAUAACGAGAAGGCAUCUUCUUGUUAUUAAAGAAAUUUCGAUAACCGAUGGGGAGUGCGCUCCAUAGUUUGUUUGGCGGGGUAACGGGCCC